rnacentral:rRNA from 1 species
UACAGAGGGUGCAAGCGUUGUUCGGAAUUACUGGGCGUAAAGCGCGCGUAGGCGGCUUUGUAAGUUAGAGGUGAAAGCCCGGAGCUCAACUCCGGAACUGCCUUUAAGACUGCAUCGCUUGAAUCCGGGAGAGGUGAGUGGAAUUCCGAGUGUAGAGGUGAAAUUCGUAGAUAUUCGGAAGAACACCAGUGGCGAAGGCGGCUCACUGGACCGGUAUUGACGCUGAGGUGCGAAAGCGUGGGGAGCAAACAGG